rnacentral:rRNA from 1 species
GGUGGCGACCGGCGCACGGGUGAGUAACGCGUAUGCAACUUACCUAUCAGAGGGGGAUAGCCCGGCGAAAGUCGGAUUAAUACCCCAUGAAACAGGGGUCCCGCAUGGGAAUAUUUGUUAAAGGUUCAUCGCUGAUAGAUAGGCAUGCGUUCCAUUAGGCAGUUGGCGGGGUAACGGCCCACCAAACCGACGAUGGAUAGGGGUUCUGAGAGGAAGGUCCCCCACAUUGGUACUGAGACACGGACCAAACUCCUACGGGAGGCAGCAGUGAGGAAUAUUGGUCAAUGGCCGAGAGGCUGAACCAGCCAAGUCGCGUGAAGGAAGAAGGAUCUAUGGUUUGUAAACUUCUUUUAUAGGGGAAUAAAGUGGAGGACGUGUCCUUUUUUGUAUGUACCCUAUGAAUAAGCAUCGGCUAACUCCGUGCCAGCAGCCGCGGUAAUACGGAGGAUGCGAGCGUUAUCCGGAUUUAUUGGGUUUAAAGGGUGCGUAGGUGGUGAUUUAAGUCAGCGGUGAAAGUUUGUGGCUCAACCAUAAAAUUGCCGUUGAAACUGGGUUACUUGAGUGUGUUUGAGGUAGGCGGAAUGCGUGGUGUAGCGGUGAAAUGCAUAGAUAUCACGCAGAACUCCGAUUGCGAAGGC